AUGGGCCUAGACUGGUUGCAGAUGCUACUCUUAGCCAAUCCCAAGAUAGUCAUAGACAAACUCAUGCUUAUUCUGUGGCAAGCAUGGCAUCUGAGAAAUAAUGUGGUACAUGGCGAUGGGAAAGACCUAGAUACAGUAGCGGGAUAUGUGCAGUAUCUCGUCAGGCUGCAUGAUGAUCUGCUGCCUGCUGCAUGUGAUCCAGUGGAGGGAGAAACAGGUGAACGAUGGGGCGCCACUGCAGCAAGAGACCACAAGGGGCGAGUGUUCAUGUCCACUGGUCGGCGCCUGGACCGAUGUAGCUCUGUGGAAGAAGCGGAGGGUGCUGCUGCCCUUCUGGGACUGAUAGAAUUCUCAAAACUAUAUAAUUGGCAACUGAUCCUGGAAACCGACUGCACGUUUGUUUGUCGAGAGCUACAGAAUGGGUCCAAGGGCAAGUCAGCAUGCCACGCCGCACUAGUGGGUGCAGCAAAGAUGCUUGGUGCCUUCGCACGCGCGGAGAUCAACAUCAUCAAGCGGAGAAUAGAACAUGAGCUUGCGGCUCUUGCAAGUGGGUCUCGCGAUUGUAUCAUGAUCACUGACGUCCCAGCGGACGCUGAACAUGCUAACAAUUCACCAAGCGCCCCCCUAAAUUUGGGGAAGUCUUUCUCUGAAUUAAGGAUGAGACUGGUCCGAAAUGUCUGCUCUUUGAAAAAUGUCCGCUCUUGUUUUGGCCCGGUUCGGCUCCAUCGAUCUGAAGACCCAGCCAAUUCACAUCAGUUGUCCCACAGCUCCUUCUUCCCCGUCGAAUGGUCAUGGUGGAGGCGAGCGCACGCGACAGGUCUGGUAGCUGCCAUCGCCUUCUUCCCAAUCUCAAUCUCCUCCCCGUUGUACUCGACGGCUUGUAACAAGUGCCAUCGCUCUCCUGCGCAGCCACCGGCCUCUUCGACCCCGGCAACCAUGUACCGUGGACACUCCACGAUUGGUUUCGUCCCAUUCUCCGAAGGAAUCGGUCCAGGAAGACCAACAUCACCGAAACGACCAUCUUUCCCUUCGCCUCCGUCCACCAGUCACUUGCCAAAUCUGUCACCGAAGACACUUCACCAACAAGGCGCACUUGCUCCAGCGUUCUCCACACAUUCCCAUACUUUGGCAGCUGCCACUGAGCUCCCCCGAGCCUCGUUGACUUCGCUAUCAUCAUCUAUAUAUAUACUUGAUCCGAAAAUCACGCUCCCGUGCGGCUCCGCGGCCGCACCGGGGCGCCCCAACUCCGGCAGCCAGGGGCCCUCUUCCCUUCUGCUCCCCCCUCACCGCCGCCGGAGAGAGUCGUCCGGCAAAGCCUCGACGGCUUCGGCGGCGGUGGGGCCGUCUAGCGGCGCCUUCGCGGCGGAUCUGAUGGCUUACGAGCUGGACUAG
rnacentral:rRNA from 1 species